CUUUAAGUGUGGCUGUGAUUCAGUCUAUGAAAUAAUCGCAUCAUCUUUCUACAUAAGAGCCUUCUUUAUGGUGCCGCCAUGAAAUAUUCAGUUCUGAGUUGUGCUGACCCAGCCGACACGCCGAUGCGGAGCCCCAGGUGUGCGGAAGACUCCAGAUGUGUGAAGCCCCUGCAAACCGCACAGCCACAUUACAAGUGUGAACACUGACCUUCAGCCUCACUUAGUAUUCCUGCAGCAUCGUCAGCGUGUAUCUGGGAGGAUUUGUCUGUUACACACUUGCAGACGCGAGGAAGCUGGCGUUCGGCCCACGUUCUCUGACACGUCACAGAAAAGACCAAGUGUGCACAAGUACAUUUGCGAUACUCACAGGAACCUAGGAUAGACUGUGGCGUCCUGCCUGUUUGUGCCUGAAUCCCAGCUGAUCCUGGGCAGGACGGGGUCUCCCACUGGAAUGGUCCUUGGGCCAGGGCCCAUGGUCUAUGGAAGUCCCUGUCACCAGCAACCGAGCUUCCUGCCGGGCAGAGGCUCCGGGAGACGUGCCGUCCUGCUGAUGAAGACGGUGGCCCCAAAGGCGUGUCUGGGAUGGUGAGGGCUGCCGGUGCCCAGGGUCCA